rnacentral:lncRNA from 1 species
CAGAAUUAUUAUCCGGGCUGUUCCCUGGAGCCUGGAGUGGAGUGGAGUGGAUAAGCUGUAACGGCUGCAUCAUAAACCAGCCCAGCAAUGCUUAGCAGCUUCGCAGGCAGGCGUGCUGUCAUUGCCUUCGCUCCGUGGGGAGCACUAAUUGUAGCACUUGCUGCAGUCCCCUACAGCUUCCUGACGGAAUGCCAAUUUCAGGCGAGAACUAAUUUAUCAAUGGCUGUAGUGGCUAAAGAGAAUGCAUCCCCUGUCAUGUUCCAGGCUGCGGUGUUUCUCAAGUAGUUGUGUUGCUCUCGCAAGUAACGUGUGUUAGCGGAGUAUUUCUGCAAUAAGCAGGCGGGUCCUGUAGGCUUCUAGACUUAUUAGAUAACAGUUGUUCAACAUUAAUCUAUUUUAAUGAAGUUCCUGACCUUCUUCCUCGGUAGGCUGGAUGGCCAGCUGUCUGCUCAAACACCCAGAGGAUAUUUGUGCAUCUUUCACCCCAUCAGCCUGCUCCUGCAGGACCUGAAUUUAUGUUGCUUGGGCUGUAAACCCCCU